GGCAUUUCAAGGUUGAUAUAUUAACCUCGCAAUAACUGCCACAACACUAGUCCACAAGGAUGCGACAGUGACAUGUGACCCAUAAGCCCCCAUCCCUUUCAGUAAGGCUUAGGGAUAAAUUUGGUUACAGCGCCAA